UAUGCAGUGCUGAGGAUCAAACCCAGUGCCUAACACGUGCCAGGCAAGCACUCUACCACUGAGCUGCAAACCCAGGACCCUAGAGGAGGCUCUUAAUGAUCAGGUGAUCCUGUGGGUGCCACCGUCUUCCCAUCCUCUAUUUUUAGGAUCUGGACAAGAUUCGAGAAGGUCUUUCCAACAUAGUCAGGCCUCACCUUACAUCCUCCUAACUGCAAUGAGACUUAAACUUUAGAACAAGACAUCCAAGUUAUUGAUGGGAAUGGUCCUGUCCCCUCGUUCUGGUUUCACAAUGCUAAGCAACACUUGACUUAUUCCUGGGUGAAGAACUGGUUGAACAAGGUCCUGACUCUUACCUGAUUUGUGGCAGCAUCAGGGUGUCCAGCAUGACUUUCUUACCUUAUUUGAGACACAAAGAGCCUUAAUCUUCUAAUAGAAAUGUUAAACAGCAAGGUAGCAUUUUUUUUUCCAGGACAAGGACAAAUUCCCUUAAAGAUUUUGCAAACGUCACAUGUUCUCUUUCCCCUUGUUGCAAUAUGUAUAAUUUAUCUCCUGGUAUAACUUGCUUAAUAGUCACAGUUUGUUAAUUCCAUCUGCUUCCCAAGAGGAGGACAAAUUGUACGUGGUGAUAUCCUGGGUGCUGAGUGGCUCUCACAAGCGGCAGCUAGUCCAAACCUCAGUUAAUGGGCUCAGGACCAAAGGGACCACAGAGGUGGGCACUGAGGCUCUGCUUGACCUCUACAGCAUGGACUUGCCCCACCAAAGCCACCCUGGCCACCAUCACCUCUGGUGGCCAAACCUGAGCCUGUGAGGCUCAGCCAGGCAUCUGGAGCCUGCGUGACUACACCAAGGCCUCCCCUCAUGCAGGGAAGCAGUUUGUCCAUCUGCAGUAGGUCUUUAUUGUAGCCGUGCAUUGCUCUCCCUCUCUCCCUCUGCACCUUUGCUCAUGAACUUGGCAGGGUGCACUGCAUGGCCGUGCCUCCCACUGAGGACUAUGCAGACAUGCCCCUGGUGUCCUGACAUUCACUGCUCUUCCUUUGUAUCU
rnacentral:lncRNA from 1 species